rnacentral:rRNA from 1 species
AACGUACGCUGGCGGCACGCCUAACACAUGCAAGUCGAACGCAGUAGCAAUACUGAGUGGCAGACGGGUGAGUAACAUGUGGGAAUCUGCCUUGUGGUUCAGGACAACAUUGGGAAACCGAUGCUAAUACUGGAUAAGCCCUUACGGGGAAAGUUUUAAUGCCAUAAGAUGAGCCCGCAUUUGAUUAGUUAGUUGGUGAGGUAAUGGCUCACCAAGACAAUGAUCAAUAGCUGAUCUGAGAGGAUGAUCAGCCACACUGGGACUGGGACACGGCCCAGACUCCUACGGGAGGCAGCAGUGGGGAAUCUUGCACAAUGGAGGAAACUCUGAUGCAGCGAUGCCGCGUGCGGGAUGACGGCCUUCGGGUUGUAAACCGCUUUUAGUAAGGAAGAAGGGGAGCUUGCUCCUUGACGGUACUUGCAGAAAAAGGACCGGCUAACUACGUGCCAGCCGCCGCAGUAA